rnacentral:rRNA from 1 species
AUUGAACGCUGGCGGCAUGCCUUACACAUGCAAGUCGAACGGCAGCACGGGAGCAAUCCUGGUGGCGAGUGGCGAACGGGUGAGUAAUAUAUCGGAACGUGCCCAGUCGUGGGGGAUAACGUAGCGAAAGCUACGCUAAUAUCGCAUACGAUCUAUGGAUGAAAGCGGGGGAUCGCAAGACCUCGCGCGAUUGGAGCGGCCGAUAUCAGAUUAGGUAGUUGGUGAGGUAAAGGCUCACCAAGCCGACGAUCUGUAGCUGGUCUGAGAGGACGACCAGCCACACUGGGACUGAGACACGGCCCAGACUCCUACGGGAGGCAGCAGUGGGGAAUUUUGGACAAUGGGCGCAAGCCUGAUCCAGCAAUGCCGCGUGCAGGAUGAAGGCCUUCGGGUUGUAAACUGCUUUUGUACGGAACGAAACGGUGAGCUCUAAUACAGUUUGCUAAUGACGGUACCGUAAGAAUAAGCACCGGCUAACUACGUG